rnacentral:rRNA from 1 species
UACAGAGGGGGCAAGCGUUGUUCGGAAUUACUGGGCGUAAAGGGCGCGUAGGCGGCCUGUUAAGUCGAACGUGAAAUCCCCGGGCUCAACCCGGGAACUGCGUCCGAUACUGGCAGGCUUGAAUCCGGGAGAGGGAUGCGGAAUUCCAGGUGUAGCGGUGAAAUGCGUAGAUAUCUGGAGGAACACCGAUGGCGAAGGCAGGUCUCUGGGCAUUAACUGACGCUGAGGAGCGAAAGCGUGGGGAGCGAAACAGG